GUUUCGUAUAUCUUUUACAAAUGCUACUGGGACAAUUUGUAAUCCUGUUUCCAUUUAUUCUUUUUUUGGAAAAGUUUAUCUUCUGAACACAUUUGUUGUUUCUUUCAUAAUAUUACAGGAGAAAUACUGGUUUGUGGAAACAAGAAACAUAACUGGCAAUAAUAAAAUUUGCCACACAGACACAGACAGACAGACAGAGGUUUCACAGCGUCUCGUGUCGCCUUCCGACCCCCAAAUUUCUUCUCCACUAAAUUCCAUUCAAUCUUCUGAUUGUGGUUCUGCCACACUCUGUUCAUUGCUUUAUUUCAUGUGUAUUUUUCCCAUCUUUACAUAGUUUUAUUCCCAGGUAUUUGUAUUCUUCGCCUGAUAAUAUUGUUUCAUCAUCUUCCAAAUGUAAGUUUCGUGAUGGACCUCCAAUGCAUAAAUACUUCGUUUUGUCAAUGUUGAUGUUAAGCCCCCAUUCUAUGUAUUUGUCUUUCAGUUUCUGUGUCAUGUAUUCUCACUAUAAGCCAUUAUGUUAAGGAACAGAUGUGCAAGAACAUGGCCCCCUCUGUCUGUAAUCUGAAGGUGAACCUUCAAACUCAAAAUCUUGUGAAAUAAUUAUGUAUAUCGAAGUUUGCGAUUAGAUAGACCACUGAAUGCAAGCAAACUAUGUAUUGCUGAAUCAUGGCAGUGUGGAACACAGAACUAAUUAAAUGUAUCUCUUUAAUUCAUAUACCACCGUCAAAUACAACUGUUUAAAAUUUGCCAUGUAGACCCUUCAUGAACCUUGCCAUAAUCUGGAUCAAGCAGAGUUGACGGAAGAUAAGCCGAUUCACUAAACAGACAUCAUGACCCUCAUUAUGCAAUUUUCUCCAGCCUCCUUUCAUUUUCUUCAUCUUAGAUACAAAUAUCUGUAGAAGUCUGUUUUCAGACAUCGUUAAUCAGUGUUGUUCCCUUACUGUGAGAAACCAUGUUUUACACCCAUACAAGACAACAGAUAAAAUUAAAGGUGAGAUUUCAGGAUCUCUUGGUGGCAGGUAAAAAUACAGUUCUGUAUACUUUAAUCUUUACAUUUUCAGAUAACAGAUGAAUGUUUUGUGUGUGAGAAACAUGAUCUCUCUCUCUCUCUCUCUCUCUCAGCAAGGAACAUAGAUUUAAUACAAUGAACACAAAAAAACAUUGAAUGUCUGUGUUUAGUUUGACUUGGUACUGUGAAAAUUUUUGUGGAAUAUCCAAAGUUUGUGACCUGUUUUCUUCAACAACUGUGUAUUGCUUUACUGAGAAGUUACUGUACAGGAAAAGAAAUGUGCUGUUGUACUUAUACAGUCGCACUUCUGUCACUGUUGCGUUGGUAACUGAAUGUCUUAACUGGCCUCUUACCCAUCAUCUGAUUAUGCUACUGUAGCCACAGCUGUGCUAAUGGUCUGUUACUAUUUCCCAUUUACUAACUUGCUUGCCAAACUUUCAGUCCCUUACCACAUCACCACAACCUUUGUCUGAAACAUCUAUGUUGGAGAAACGGCCCAAGAUUAAAAAGAAAAAGGGUGGUUCCAGGAAAAAAUAACUCCAAAGAAGAAAAUUAAACCACACUCCUGAAAUGAAAACGACUCGUGUAAAAUGCACUGCGCCGUGUGUCUGCUGUUACAGUAAUUUUAUAAUGUUGAGACUCAGUACAUUCAGGAGUAUUUGUAUGACUGUUCUAAAAUGUAUGUGUGUGCUUGUGUUUGUAUGUAUUGGGUAUCAAUCAGUACAUUGGUGGCUGACGAGUAGUGAGCAAUUUCUACACAAACUUCUGGGAGAUUGGUUUACAUAUACUAUGGUGCUUGAAAUUAAACCACUGUGUUUGAAUCAUAGAUUCUUGAAUUGGCAGAACUGGCCAUACAUACGGGAAGAACUGAUGUAUGGUUUUCUUGGUGUUACACAUGGAUAAGAAAUGGAUUUCAUGUCGGCGUGCGCACACACAGGGAACACGUUGUGCACAAACAGUGCACCAGUAUGGUUUAUUAAUUCAGUAUGUUUAUGUUCAUGAUCAGCCAUGCAACAGUUGGCUGACUGUUCACCUGUUUCACUCUAGGAGCAGUAUGUCAAAGGGAAUGUCGACGGCUGGCAUGCUUCAGUUUCUAUGUGAAUAUUUUGUCAUACAUUCUGGUCAACAGUCAUAGACAGACAGCAAUAGUGAGACCAUCACACACUCAGCUACUUAUAACGCGAAGGGUAUAUUAAACAGGUAUACUUUGUCAGCUAUUGGAACCCCAGAUACAUAAAAAUUACAAGUUACUCACAUUUUUGUUGUUUCACAAACCCCUUUGGUCCUCUAACUAUAAAUCAAUCAUUAGGGUGCUUCCACUGUAUCUGCUUCUGCUUUUAACUCUUAAAGCACAGUGGUAAUUCGCAUGUGCCACCUAAUGUAACAUUACGUAACACUGCAUUUUGUCCAGAAUGUAUUUAGUUUUUAAAUGAUUCUCAGAAUAAACAGUGAUAAUUUUUUUAAAAUAGAAUUAAUCAGCAAUGCUUUGUAAUGCAGUUGGAUUGUUUCCUUUAAGGUAGCAAAUAAUUAACUCCAUGGACCAUAGUCUUAGGAAGCUGAUAAAUAGUAUGCCCAGCUAGUCAAGAAAGUCCUGUUUUGGAACUUAAAAAGGUUCAUUGCUGUGUUCAUAAGAGCUUGCCAUUGGUCACUAUACUCAACCAGAUUAAUCCAAUCCAUGCUGCUUAUAUGCCCCCCUUCUUCAGGAUUAAUUCUAAUACUACCCUCCGACAUCAUCUGAGUAAUCUCUUCAGGCUUUCAGCCAAAAUUUUGUAUGCAUUUCUCAUCCCCCAAGUUUGCUACAUGCUCAUUUCAUCUCAUCCCCUUUGAUUUGAUCAUCCUAAUAGUUUGUGAAGAGUACAAAUUAUGGAGAUCCUCAUUUUCAGUUUUGUCAUCCUUUUGUUAUUUCAUCCCUCUUUGGUCCAAAUAGUCUCCUCAGCACACUCUUGUCAGAUAUCUUCAAUCUGUGUUCUUCCCUUAACGAGAGAGACCGAGUAGAUAUACAUAUAUAAAGUCCAAGGUUCUGUGUAACACUUUGUAAGAUGCUGGGUUUUUUAUCAUGAGACGUUGUUAGCUCUUCUUGUUAAAUCCCUAAGCUGAAAGCUAACCCCUUGUUGAAUGUCUGCAACUGUUUAUUCAAUAUAUUUACAGCUACUCUCCAUGUCUGGAGGCCUACUCUAUCCACAACCUGAGGGCAUCCUAUGCCACGAUGACAAGGGACCUAAUUAACAUUGGAGGGUGGAUAGUAACUGAAUUCUUAAAUAUUAUUUACAUUAUCCAGAGUGUUAAGUACUGGUCUUUGCCACAUUUAUUUGUUUUAUUCCCCUUCCAUUUAAAGCAGCUGUUUUAUAAGGAUAAAAGAUGCAGCGGCAACAGAACAUCUUUCUGACCCACAUGGAACACUGAAAGGCAAAUUCAUUUCCAUCAAGAGAAUUGAAGGUGUGGGGUUAACUGAAGAGUGAACAGAUUUGCAACAUGUCUAUUUCAUAAGCUUGCCAACUGUGCAACAACAGCUGGUCAGCAGUGUUCACUCUGUGUGUGCGCGCGCGCCUUAGAUUAAGGAUAUUGAGGAAUCUGUUCUUCAUUGGGUCCGAGAGUACUUAUUUCUCAAUUUCUUUUCCAGUAACUUUUUAUAUGAUGUAACAGUUAAUUGAUGUUAAUAAUUGGUACACUGGGUUAGCAUUGGUAAUAUAAUAUUUGUGUAAUACAUUAAUGAAUAAGUAUAAAAAAUAUUUUUAAUAAAAUAACGGUCUUUUUCUGCAAAUUAGUUGGUUAAUCAGUUUACAGAACAUUUUCACCUCCCGAAUUGUAAUGUAUUUUGAAUUCAACAUGGAGCAGGUGUCUAUUCUGUCAAACUGUUUUAUGAAAUUAAAUAUUAAUUCCAUACUGGCCAACAAAUUGUAGCUUCGAUAUGAGAGAGACGAUGGUAAAUAUAAAUUGUCCGUUUCAAGGAUAGUUCAUUCAUAUCAAGCAUGGAGGGAUACAGUAAGGCCUACAGAAGACAAUAUCAGCAACUGAAGGUGUUGCGUACAAGCCAGUUUUCACAUAUGUCGGACUGAAAACAAAUGGCUCGAAAUAUGAAAUCCUUAGUAUUCAGUUUUGAUGCUUGCAUUUGGAACCAGAGAAUUUUUUUUCAUAAUUUUUCUAUUUUAAUUGAACAGUUUGCAUUCAUAUUCUUAUAAUUAUCAUUCACUAUUACAGGAGAAAGAAUGUGCAAGUAGUGGAAACUUCAGUUACGUUAUAAUAUCGUGUAAUUUAUUGUACAAAACUUUAUCUUUCUUAAUGAGCAUGAGUAACAACUGACAUGGUUCUUCUGUAUUGUGAUUUAAGAUUAGUAAAACAUAUGGUUGACUGUUAUGCAAACAUUGAUCAUUCAGAUAAACAAAUUUUACUCAGCAACUAUUA